rnacentral:rRNA from 1 species
AAGAGUUUUCGGACGAUGGAAGUAGAGGAAAGUGGCGGACGGGUGAGUAACGCGUGAGGAACCUGCCUUGAAGAGGGGGACAACAGUUGGAAACGACUGCUAAUACCGCAUGAAGCAUAGGGGUCGCAUGAUUCUUAUGCCAAAGAUUUAUCGCUUCAAGAUGGCCUCGCGUCUGAUUAGCUAGUUGGCGGGGUAACGGCCCACCAAGGCGACGAUCAGUAGCCGGACUGAGAGGUUGAACGGCCACAUUGGGACUGAGAUACGGCCCAGACUCCUACGGGAGGCAGCAGUGGGGAAUAUUGGGCAAUGGGCGCAAGCCUGACCCAGCAACGCCGCGUGAAGGAAGAAGGCUUUCGGGUUGUAAACUUCUUUUAAGAGGGAAGAGCAGAAGACGGUACCUCUAGAAUAAGCCACGGCUAACUACGUGCCAGCAGCCGCGGUAAUACGUAGGUGGCAAGCGUUGUCCGGAUUUACUGGGUGUAAAGGGCGUGCAGCCGGGUCUGCAAGUCAGAUGUGAAAUCCAUGGGCUCAACCCAUGAACUGCAUUUGAAACUGUAGAUCUUGAGUGUCGGAGGGGCAAUCGGAAUUCCUAGUGUAGCGGUGAAAUGCGUAGAUAUUAGGAGGAACACCAGUGGCGAAGGCGGAUUGCUGGACGAUAACUGACGGUGAGGCGCGAAAGUGUGGGGAGCAAACAGG